GACGAACGCUGGCGGCGUGCCUAAUACAUGCAAGUAGAACGCACAGUUUAUACCGUAGCUUGCUACACCAUAAACUGUGAGUUGCGAACGGGGGAGUAACGCGUAGGUAACCUGCCUGGUAGCGGGGGAUAACUAUUGGAAACGAUAGCUAAUACCGCAUAAUAUUGAUUAUUGCAUGAUAAUUGAUUGAAAGAUGCUAUUGCAUCACUACCAGAUGGACCUGCGUUGUAUUAGCUAGUAGGUGAGGUAACGGCUCACCUAGGCGACGAUACAUAGCCGACCUGAGAGGGUGAGCGGCCACACUGGGACUGAGACACGGCCCAGACUCCUACGGGAGGCAGCAGUAGGGAAUCUUCGGCAAUGGACGAAAGUCUGACCGAGCAACGCCGCGUGAGUGAAGAAGGUUUUCGGAUCGUAAAGCUCUGUUGUAAGAGAAGAACGGGUGUGAGAGUGGAAAGUUCACACUGUGACGGUAUCUUACCAGAAAGGGACGGCUAACUACGUG
rnacentral:rRNA from 1 species